rfam:Triticum aestivum genome assembly, contig: Triticum_aestivum_CS42_TGACv1_scaffold_019335_1AS
UUACUACUCCCUCCGUUCGGAAUUACUUGUCAUAGAAAUGAAUAAAAAUGAAUGUAUCUAAAACUAAAAUACAUCUAGAUACAUCCAUUUCUUCGACAAGUAAUUUGAGAUGGAGGGAGUACUAU